GUGUAGGAAGCUGUGGGGGACCCUUUAAUGAGGGCAUUCUAAUUAUUCUGUGGACUGAGUUCCAUGUUAAGUUUCCUUUGAAAGCUACUUCGGUAAAUUAAGCUCAUUACAGGAAAUGUGCUAGAUGAAUUAGAGGAUCACAGUGGAUAACAGUGUUAAGGUAAGGGUCACUGGGAAUAUUUCCCUGUCUCUGGAUUUGGGUCUUAUAAGUAAAUAAGCUCCUUGUGAUAAGACAUUCUACCUUUGGAUUGGCACUAAAAUAGUCAAAAGUCUAUACAGUAAAAGGCAAAAAGAUACAAAUUUGUUCUAGUGCAGAAGUCUGAGUGCAAAUAGCAUGUCUGAAUGUUAAUACUAUAGUUGGCUCUGAACAGCAAAACUUACAAGGGCAGGUAGGUCAGUGGGGCUCAUGUAGCCAUGCUGCUUUCAGUACAUGCCUUGAUCCUGUCUCAAGUAGUCUGAUAAAACAGGACACCCAGUCAUGCCUGUCAACUGCAGUUUACACUGCUGGAGAAGUGAGUGCAGCUUUCCUGUCCAGACUGUGGGGUCCCAGUAGUGCUCCUAACAUAAAGCUGCCUAGACUUCAUUACCCUCUCUCCUGCCAGGGUUUAUAAACCCUUCUCAAAGAACAGAAGAGCGGAUACCUAUAACUUUUCACACGAAUUUCUUCCUGACUACCACCUUCUGAGUCUCAGGGUAUGGGGUGGGGCAGCUGGGAGAAUUGGGCAGUGUGUGAGGAGGUGAAUAGGGAGAAUGCUACAUUACAGCUUGCCUUUUUCUAAUACAUUGUGAUUUAUGUUCAUAUAAAGGGCCCAUUCAGAGGCUGGGGGCAGGGCUAUUUUUUUUUCAUCUUUGAAAGUAAAAAUAUAAAAUAACAAAUAAUUUAAAAAGUACUUUUGUAAAACAUAAAAAGUAGCCACCUCUUCCACCCCCUCCUCAAUAUCCCUGUCUUAUCCUCUCCAGAAUGAUUUCUAGUUGUUAUUAGCUGUGCCGUUUCUAAAUAUCGUAUUUUUAUAGUGUAUAUUUUUAAUCUUUCAGUUUUAGAUGUUGUCUUCUGGCUUCCUAUGAUAAAAAAAUACAGAUUAAGAACUUUACCACCACUUAUCCUCCCCUUCCCUCUCACUUCCCAAUAGAACUGCAUCAGUCAGAAGAUUUAUGAUAUUACAUCUACAAAAAUUGUUAAAUAUUGAAUCAAGCAGUGAACUUUCAUUUCUUCUGCCAUUUUAUUU
rnacentral:lncRNA from 1 species